UCGAUGGAAUGGCGCGUGCUGUUUUUACUAGUGUUCUGGGUAACGUGUGUGUUUGUUUUGUCAUGUGUUCUCGAGGAACUAUACCUUAACAAUAUGGCGUCCAACAUUUCUUUUAUAGUUCUGGGGAUUUUACUUUUACACGAAGUGGAGAGUAUAUGUUACACAUGUGGUUAUACGACACUAGAUAAAAAUUGUGUUGAUACAUUUAUACCUAGAGAUGGCCGGGAAUCGACGGCAUGUACACUUAGUAGAGAUUCAAAAUAUAAAUUAUGCAGAAAAUAUAGAGAUGGUUGGACAAUCAUGUGUAAAAGAUCCGGGAGUGUUUUAAUGUGUAAAGAGCCGUGCUACACCGGUCAAGCAUCAUCAACCAAUCACAGCCUUUCUCUCAUCUUAGUCGUGGCCUUCGCCCAUAUAUUUUCUGCUGCAUGGAGACAUGUUUCUUGACUCUAGUGAUUGGUUUAUAACAGAUGUGAUUUUAAUAUUAAAAUUUUAUAAUGCGUACAAUUGAUUGGAUUUGCUUUGGCUUUGAUCACGUGUUGGGGUGUGUUAAGAAAAUGUUUUGUUGAAAUUGAAUUUUUUUUGUGUUUAAAGGGAGAUAAUUAUCAGACUAUUUAACUUGCAAUCGUGUAGAAAGCAAGGACGGAAAUAUUAACAAAACCAUAUUUCCAAGGACAUGCUACAAUGGGAAUACAAAUCAAUAAUAAUUUAUUUAUUAUCUAUGGCGUAAAGAUCAAUGAAACUAUUACUUUAGUUAAGAAUCGAAUAACAUACUGAAUAUAACUUAAAGGAGAAGUCCUAGAUUUCAGAGGGUUUCCGACAAAAAGUUUGUUUACGUAUGUCAAAAUGUAAUGAAAGUGACAGUUCAAAAUGAUCGACAAAAAUGUUUAAAGAUGUUAGUAACUUUGCCAUAACCUAUCAACAGCCUGUUAAUUCCAUUACUCGCAGGAAAACGGCAAAACGGGAGUUUUGCCACAAGCUGUCACUCCAUGCGCCAUAGACAAUGGUAUCCAGGCACAAGGUGAUUGCUUGUAGGAAGCUCAUCUCAUCUCCACCUGACUAUUUCUUUUAAAAUGUAUCUACUUUCGACUAGAUUAAAGGUUCAAUUAAGAAAUAUUCAGAUUUAUUCACUGAAUUAUAGCUUGGGCUUCUCCUUUAAAGAUUGAAAACUAAAUAUUUAUCUUCUAGGGCAGUGUAUGCUACACACGUGUCGAGUGUUUGAAUUUUAAUGUGAAAACAUAUGAAACUCAGUAAGAGGUUAAAUGAAUCGGCUAGAAUUUGGUACGCACGAAUAUGUCCAAUAUGAUUUUCAGUCAAAUGUCCUUAAUUGAUGGUUCCUCUUGAUAUUGAUAUCUCAAACCUUUGUUUAUACCAGCGUAGAGAAAAGGUCAUGGUGAAUGUAAUCUUAUAGAUUGAGAAAGAAUAGAUAAGACAAAGAAAGUCCUUUAUUAAUUCGCACUGAUUACAACCCUCCACUCCUUUCACAAUUGCAGAUCGGAUCAAUUUGGCUAUUCGAACAUUAACAUUGAAGAUAUACACGUAUCUGUAAUGUUUAAUGAACUAUGUCACAUUCAAGGACAGUUCGGUUUUAGUGUAUUGUAUAUAAUAUAUCAUGUACAUUGACGUAGUGACUGUCUGUUUGGAUGUGAACACGGGGAGACUAUGGGACGCCAAACCAACACAUUUAUAUCCAUAUAAUGAAAGCUGUUCUGGUCCCUAAUUAAUUUGAAUAUUAUUUUGAUUUGGCUUUCCAUAAUCUUAGACAGCGAAACCAGAUCACUCCAAAACAGCCAGCUUGUCAGUAACUUUGAACAUUUCUUUGUUUCUUUGGAGGCCAUGUCGGAACGUCAACAUUUACAGGAUCUAUACCUAAAUGUAUAAUUUCUGGCUCUGAUUGCUUGAAUAGAAUGAUAAUCUCUUGCGUUCUAUAUUGUUCUACCAUCAUGUGUAUACCUUCGAAACGAACGGCUACUGGAACAGGCUUAAGGUCUGCGCACACGAAGGGUAAUCUGUUGCCCACAGCUCGACGGAGCCGUUGACUUCUAGCAAUGGUUUAACGGCACUGGUACUAUGGACAGACAAGACAAAAAUGGGGUUUAACGACUAUAGUACAUUUCAAGGGGAAUUUUGUCUGAAAAGGGACUUUUCCGCUUACAGGAAUUCAUAGUGUAUUUAACUUUUUGACGUUUUUAUCUCCUUUUUUGUAUAACAAACUACAACUUUUCUUGCCUAUUUGUGUAUUAUAUAUUGUAAUUCAAUCCGUCACAAUAGGGAUUGCAUAAUGUCAAGCGAGUUAUUUCCCUUGAUUUUAUAUUUAGGCCUGCCACACGGUACGAACGUAAUGCGCAUGAAUAAAAUGGCGGUGUCAAAUGACACAACGUUUGGUAAGGUCUGAGUACCGAGAACCGGCGAUAGUGUCGCGGGGACAUUGUUUUGCCUGUACGCAUUGAGAAGCAUGACCAAAAAUUGAUCCAAUAGUGAAUAUUCAGAAGCAUAUGACUUCCUAAUUAACGGUGGUUACACGAUGGUUAUACGUUGUUGGAGUUCGUGAUGGUCGCGUGAGAUUCACCGAGGGACUGGUUGGUGGCGCCAGUCAUAAAUGAUACUCAAAGAAAAGGGGCAUAACUCCAUAUAUUGCGACAGCUUGUCAUUGCAUCAGCAUUUAUAGAACAUUGCGUAUAAUAAGGUUUCACGAACUCUAGGUAAUAUUUGUAAAUAACCAGAAACUUUGGGGUUUCUAACAGAUACUUGCAAAAACGCGGUUAACAAUUUCUUGUCGACUCCUUUGACCUAAACUAAUUAAAAUUAGAUUAUAAAAAUAAAACCAGAUUGGACGUUUGGCAUUAUUCAAGGUCGUGUAGUUUCUGCUAACCACCAAAGGAAUCCAUCAGAGAAUAUACAUGUAGGCAUGUCUAGUUCUUUGGGCGAGACAAUUCACACCACGCAAAGCAAUCUCAAAUAUGAAUAGUAAUUUGCUUUCUAAGCUUUAAAAAUUGUAUAAAACGUGUAUGCUUGAAUUGCUUAACUUCAAAUGCUUGGAAUGUUUAACUUUAAUGUGUAUAAUGCUAUAUUGGCAAUUUUAAAUUGUUUAAUAUAUAUUAAGCUAUAGAUUGCAUGUACAUUGAAUGUCGAAUUGUUUUAAAUGUAUACUGUACAUGUUGAUUUUGAAUUCAGUUUGUCUAUAUAUAAAAUGCAUGUAAAAUAUGAAUACUUUAAUAUUGUUAGUGUCGGUUUGGUGCUUUAGCUAUAUAUGAACUGAAUAAGUAAGGGUUGGCUUUUAGUACAAUUACAAAAAUAAUAUGAAAACAAAAGAAGUCUAAGUUUUAGAAGUUCCAUCGUCCUGUUGAUAAUACUGAAUCAGUAUUCAUUGGCUCUGUUAUUUGUGCUUAAAUAAUAUCAAUCAUUUAAUAAUUGUUUUACCAUAGCACUGUAAUGAUAUCUUGCUUUUGUAGAUAUAUUGUUAGUUAAUUUAUAACUGGGUCAGCAUAUCCUGCUGUUAAACAACUUAAAUCCACAUUUGAAAUCGGGAGUUCAAAACAGAAAAAAAAGUUUUGUGUCACGUUUUAAACAAUGUUUAUUCCACUACGCACCGUAAACGGUAAAUAGUGUCACCUAUACAUGGGUGAAUGCAAAUAGACUUGUUUGAAAUGAAAUAAAAUGGACGCUCUAUCGCCAACUUAGCUUAACAGCUCAAGAAAGACGAGAGGACCCACGGCAGACACGACUCUAGAUUGGCAUGCUAUCAUUUACUACAAGCCCUUCGCUGAAACUACAAUGAAUUGAUAACACCGUUAGAAGUCCCUGCGCCGUAUAGAUCAGUGCGUUUUUAACAAAAUGGCACCAUUAAAAGUCCCGAAGCAGUAUAGGCCAGUACAAUUUGAACAAUAGAUAAGAAAGGGAUUUGUUGACCCAGACUGUGUGUAAUCUAUAUACUAAUUAUAGAUAUUUGUAUAAUUGAUUAUCUAUUGUAUGUACAUAUAUAUAACUAUUAUAUAAAUAUUAUUUGUAUAAAUACGCUUUAAAAAUUUACACAAAAUAAAACAUGUUUGUUGCCCUGUA